rnacentral:rRNA from 1 species
UACAGAGGUCCCAAGCGUUGUUCGGAUUCAUUGGGCGUAAAGGGUGCGUAGGCGGCGCGGUAAGUCGGGUGUGAAAUCUCGGAGCUUAACUCCGAAACUGCAUUCGAUACUGCCGUGCUUGAGGACUGGAGAGGAGACUGGAAUUUACGGUGUAGCGGUGAAAUGCGUAGAUAUCGUUUGGAACGCCAAUGGUGAAAACAGGUUGCUGGGAGUGUGCUGACGCUGAGACACGAAAGCCAGGGGAGCAAACGGG